CGGGUUUGACACUGAGAAGGCGGGGCCAUGGCUGUAAUGGGAACAGAACCACGUGGGAGGCUCAGGGACACGUGACUGGGAUGCUAUUCAGGGUCAGUAUCAUCUAAUAUUUUACCACCAGGGGGGCAACUACUGCUGUGUCCAUCACUUCACCCCCAGCUGGCCUCCAACCCUGCCAGGGCUCUCAUAACCAUGGUCCAUCCCUGCCAGAGCUCCAAUAACCAUGGUCCAUCCCUGCCAGAGCUCCCAUAACCAUGGUCCAUCCCUGCCAGGGCUCCCAUAACCAUGGUCCAUCCCUGCCAGGGCUCCCAUAACCAUGGUCCAACCCUGCCAGAGCUCCAAUAACCAUGGUCCAUCCCUGCCAGGGCUCCCAUAACCAUGGUCCAACCCUGCCAGAGCUCCAAUAACCAUGGUCCAUCCCAGCCAGGGCUCCCAUAACCAUGGUCCAUCCCAGCCAGGGCUCCCAUAACCAUGGUCCAUCCCUGCCAGGGCUCCCAUAACCAUGGUCCAACCCUGCCAGAGCUCCAAUAACCAUGGUCCAUCCCAGCCAGAGCUCCCAUAACCAUGGUCCAUCCCUGCCAGAGCUCCCAUAACCAUGGUCCAUCCCUGCCAGAGCUCCAAUAACCAUGGUCCAUCCCUGCCAGGGCUCCCAUAACCAUGGUCCAUCCCAGCCAGGGCUCCCAUAACCAUGGUCCAUCCCUGCCAGGGCUCCCAUAACCAUGGUCCAACCCUGCCAGGGCUCUCAUAACCAUGGUCCAUCCCUGCCAGAGCUCCCAUAACCAUGGUCCAUCCCUGCCAGAGCUCCCAUAACCAUGGUCCAUCCCUGCCAGAGCUCCCAUAACCAUGGUCCAUCCCAGCCAGAGCUCCAAUAACCAUGGUCCAUCCCUGCCAGAGCUCCCAUAACCAUGGUCCAUCCCUGCCAGAGCUCCCAUAACCAUGGUCCAUCCCUGCCAGAGCUCCCAUAACCAUGGUCCAUCCCAGCCAGGGCUCCCAUAACCAUGGUCCAUCCCUGCCAGGGCUCCCAUAACCAUGGUCCAUCCCUGCCAGGGCUCCCAUAACCAUGGUCCAUCCCUGCCAGGGCUCCCAUAACCAUGGUCCAUUCCUGCCAGGGCUCCCAUAACCAUGGUCCAUCCCAGCCAGGGCUCCCAUAACCAUGGGGCUCCCAUAACCAUGGUCCAUCCCUGCCAGGGCUCCCAUAACCAUGGUCCAUCCCAGCCAGGGCUCCCAUAACCAUGGGGCUCCCAUAACCAUGGUCCAUCCCUGCCAGGGCUCCCAUAACCAUGGUCCAUCCCAGCCAGGGCUCCCAUAAACAUGGGGCUCCCAUAACCAUGGUCCAUCCCAGCCAGAGCUCCAAUAACCAUGGUCCAUCCUAGCCAGGGCUCCCAUAACCAUGGUCCAUCCCUGCCAGGGCUCCCAUAACCAUGGUCCAUCCCUACCAGGGCUCCCAUAACCAUGGUCCAUCCCUGCCAGUGCUCCCAUAACCAUGGUCCAUCCCUGCCAGAGCUCCCAUAACCAUGGUCCAUCCCUGCCAGAGCUCCCAUAACCAUGCUCCAUCCCAGCCAGGGCUCCCAAAACCAUGGUCCAUCCCAGCCAGGGCUCUCAUAACCAUGGUCCAUCCCUGCCAGGGCUCCCUUAACCAUGGUCCAUCCCUGCCAGGGCUCCCACAACCAUGGUCCAUCCCAGCCAGAGCUCCCACAACCAUGGACCAUCCCUGCCAGGGCUCCCAUAACCAUGGUCCAUCCCUGCCAGAGCUCCCAUAACCAUUGUCCAUCACUGCUAGGGCUCCCAUAACCAUUCUACAGUCUGUACAUCACAGGAUCCCCCUUAACAGUCAGUGAACCCCAAUAUCACUUCACUCCCAGCUGGCCUCCAUCCCUGCCAGGGCUCCCAUAACCAUGGCCCAUCACUGCUAGGGCUCCCAUAACCAUGGUCCAUCAGUCAGUGAACCCCAAUAUCUCUUCACCCCCAGCUGGCCUCCAUCUCUGCCAGAGCUCCCAUAGCCAUUAUCUAUCCCUGCCAGUGUCCAUCACUGCUAGGGCUCCCAUAACCAUUUUACCCUCUGUACAUCACAGGAUCCCCCUUAACAGUCAGUGAACCCCAAUAUCACGUCACCCCCAGCUGGCCUCCAUUCCUGCCAGAGCUUCCAUAACCAUUGUCCAUCCCUGCCAGAGCUCCCAUAACCAUUGUCCAUCACUGCUAGGGCUCCUAUAACCAUUCUACCCUCUGUACAUCAGUCAGUGAACCCCAAUAUCACUUCAGCCCCUGCUGGCCUCCAUCACUGUUAGGGCUACCAUAACCAUUGUCCAUCACUGCCAGAGCUCCCAUAACCAUUGUCCAUCCCUGCUAGGGCUCCCAUAACCAUUCUACAGUCUGUACAUCAGUAAACCCCAAUAUCCGUUCACCCCCUGCUGGCCUCCAUCCAUGCCAGAGCUCCCAUAACCAUUGUCCAUCCCUGCCAGAGCUCCCAUAACCAUGGUCCAUCACUGCUAGGGCUCCCAUAACCAUGGUCCAUCCCUGCUAGGGCUCCCAUAACCAUGGUCCAUCAGUCAGUGAACCCCAAUAUCUCUUCACCCCCAGCUGGCCUCCAUCCCUGCCAGAGCUCCCAUAACCAUUGUCCAUCUAUGCUAGGGCUCCCAUAACCAUGGUCCAUCAGUCAGUGAACCCCAAUAUCACUUCACCCCCAGCUGGGCUCCAUCCCUGCCAGAGCUCCCAUAACCAUGGUCCAUCACUGCUAGGGCUCCCAUAACCAUGGUCCAUCCCUGCUAGGGCUCCCAUAACCAUGGUCCAUCAGUCAGUGAACCCCAAUAUCUCUUCACCCCCAGCUGGGCUCCAUCCCUGCCAGAGCUUACUGCCAGGGCUCCCAUAACCAUGGUCCAUCCCUGCUAGGGCUUCCAUAACCAUGGUCCAUCCCUGCUAGGGCUCUCAUAACCAUGGUCCAUCAGUCAGUGAACCCCAAUAUCUCUUCACCCCCAGCUGGCUCCAUCCCUGCCAGAGCUCUCAUAACCAUUGUCCAUCACUGCUAGGGCUCCCAUAACCAUGGUCCAUCAGUCAGUGAACCCCGAUAUCUCUUCACCCCCAGCUGGCCUCCAUCCCUGCCAGAGCUCCCAUAACCAUUGUCCAUGACUGCUAGGGCUCCCAUAACCAUGGUCCAUCAGUCAGUGAACCCCAAUAUCUCUUCACCCCCAGCUGGCCUCCAUCCCUGACAGGGCUCCCAUAACCAUUCUACAGUCUGUACAUCAGUGAACCCCAGUAUCUCUUCACCCCCAGCUGGCCUCCAACCCUGCCAGAGCUCCCAUAACCAUUGUCCAUCACAGUCAGUAAACCACAAUUUCACUUCACCCCCAGCUGGCCUCCAACCAUGCCCAGGCUCCCAUAACCAUUGUCCAUCAUAGUCAGUGAACCCCUAUAUCCCUUCACCCCCAGCUGGCCUUCAUCACUGCCAGGGCUCCCAUAACCAUUCUCCAGUCUGUCCAGCACAUAAUCCCCCUUAACAGCCAGUGAACCGCAAUAUCCCUUCACCCCCAGCUGGUCUCCAUCCCUGCCAGGGCUCCCAUAACCAUUCUACAGUCUGUACGUCAGAGGAUCCCCCAUCAUAGCCAGUGAACCCCAAUAUCCCUUUACCCCCAGCUGGCCUACAUCACUGCCAGGGCUCCCAUAACCAUUGUCCAUCACAGCCAGUGAACCCCAAUAUCACUUCACACCCAGCUGGCCUCCAUCACUAUCAGGGCUACAGUAACUAUUCUAGAGUCUUUCCAGCACAGGUCCCCUUUCACAGUCAGUGAACCCCAAUAUAACUUCUCCCCCAGCUUGCCUCCAUUCCUGCCAGGGCUCCCAUAACCAUUCUACACUCUGUGCAUCUCAGUCUGUCCAGCACAGGUUCCCCUUUCACAGCCAGUGAACCCCAAUAUCACUUCACCCCCAGCUGGGCUCCAUCCCUGCCAGGGCUCCUAUAACCAUUGUAUAGUCUGUCCAUCAAAGGAUCCCCAUUAAAAGCCAGUGAACCCCAACAUCCCUUCACCCCUCAGCUGGCCUACAUCACUGCCAGGGCUUCCAUAACCAUUGUCCAUCAUAUUCAGUGAACCCCAAUAUCCCUUCACCCCCAGCUGGCCUUCAUCACUGCCAGGGAUCCUUUGAUGGACAGGCAGUGAUGUCUGUCCAGCACAGAAUCCCCCUCAACAGCCAGUGAACCCCAAUAUCACUUCACCCCCAGCUGGUCUCCAUCCCUGCCAGGGCUCCCAUAACCAUUCUACAGUCUGUGCAUCACAGGAUCCCCCUUCAAAGGCAGUGAGCCCCAAUAUCCAUUCUUUCACAGGGCACCUCGGUAUCUCCUACCUCAAUGUACCCCUUAAUUUUACUCUCCCAGUGUACCCCUACAUCUUCCUUUCAGUCAGUAUACUUCUUUAUCUCCUCCCUCAUUACCAGUGCCCCGUAUCUUCCCCACUUAUUACAAUGUACCCCUUAAUUUUACCGUCCCAGUGUACCCCUGUAUCUCCUCCCUUUUAUUCAAUGUUACUAAUUUUACCCAGCCAGUGUACCCGUUUAUCUCCACCUUAUAAUCAGUGCCCCUUUACCUCCUCCAUUUCAGUCAGUGAACCCUUUAAUAUUAACCUCCCAGUGAACCAUUUGAUCUUCCUCGUCCUAGUCAGAGCCACUUAAUCUCCUCCCUUUGAGUCACUGUACCUCUUUAUCUCUUCCCUUUCAAUCCGCAUACCCCUUUAUCUCCUCCCUUUUAAUCAUUGUACCUCUUUAUCUUUUCCCUUACAGUCAGGUUGUACACUAAUUUUACCCUCCAGAUGUACCCCUUUAUUUAAUGCAUCCUUCAAUAUUACCUUAACAGCGUAUCUGUUUAUCUCCUUCCUCACUGUUAAUACUCUUUUACUCACUGUUACUUUUACAAGUGUCUCUUAAUCUCCUCCCUUAAAGCUAAUGCCCCCUUUAUCUGUUCCCUUUCACAGUGUGCGCACCCCAUUAUCUGCCCCUGAUAUAGGUUAUUUAAUCAGACCAUAAGAGUUUCACCCUUGAUCUGUGCGAAAAAAUGGCCUCAAUUUAAUAUUCUUGAUGAAUUCAUAUUUUUGCAUAAACCUUAAAGGGACACUAUAGUCACCAGAACAACUAUAGCUUAUUGAAUUUGUUCUGGUGAGUAGAAUCAUUACCUUCAGGCCUUUCGCUGUAAACACUGUCUUUUCAGAGAAAAUGCAGUGUUUACGUUACAUCCUAGUGAUAACCUCACUGGCCACUCCUCAGAUGGCUGUUAGAGAUCCUUCCUGGGUCAUGGCUGCCUAAAAUGCAUCCAAACAUUCAGUGUCUCCUCCCUCUACAUGCAGACACUGAACUUUACUCAUAGAGAUUCAUUGAUUCAAUUCAUCUCUAUGAGGAGAUGCUGAUUGGCCAGGGCUGUGUUUGAAUCAUGCUGGGUCUGCCCCUGAUCUGCCUCUUUGUCAGUCAGACCAAUCCUAUGGGGAAGCAUUGUGAUUGGAUCAGACUACCACUUCUCAUGAUGUCAGCAGAGUGCUUGUUUUUCUGAGGCAAACAGCAUGCAGAGUUACAGCUUCAGACUUGAAUACAGUAAGAUUUUGCUAUAUUUAUGGAGGCAUGAGGGGCCCAGGGGGGCUAGAUGGUGGGUUUAACACUAUAGGGUCAGGAAUACAUGUGUUUGUUCCUGACCCUAUAGUGAUUCUUUAAACAAAAAAAAAAACUUUUUUUUCAAAAUAUUAAAAUAUAUAUAAAAAUAUAUUUAAAAAUCUAAAUAUUUAGAUAUCAUAUUUUUCAAAAUAUGAAAUAACAUCAAAAGUUUAUCCAAAAAUAUUAAAUCCGUUGAAAAGCGUACCCAAAUAUAAUUAAUCAAGGCCAUACUAUGUGUGUCAGGAUCUCAAGUGGGUAAGAAGUUGAGACCUAAUCUUGCAAUGCACAGCCUUGUCAUAAUGUUACUUACAUUCCACAUUGGUUUAAAUAAAUAACAUGAAUAUAUGUAUUAUAUUCCAUAGACUACCUGCGUUAAAGAGAAACUAACAUCCCAGGAUCUAUAAUAUUUUCUUUACUUAUUCACGAUAUUUAUCACAUGGAAAAAAAACAUUAACACAAGUUAUGGGAGUUCUUCAAAGUUUUAUACAGAGGUGCAAUUUCCAGAGAAGUGACUGCAUUAAAGUUAGGGUCUUCUAACUAAUGUAGGCUAGUGGUGGUCCUCUAUAGGAGGAUAUGCUAGAGAAGCAUCCGUAAUGAUGUAUAAAUACCAUGGACAUCUUAGACCGAAAAAGAAAUCGCAGCAAUUUUAGGGAACCAUUAGAAAUCGGCUCUUGGGAUUUUUUCUUUUUAAAAAGGUACUGACACUUUAGAACAGGCAUAGGCAACCUUCGGCACUGCAGAUGUUUUGGACUACAACCUCCCAUGAUGCUUUGGCAGCAUUAUGGGUGUAAGAGCAUUAUGGGGGAUGUAGUCCACAACAUCUGAAGUGUCGAGGGUGGUCUUCCCCUGCUUUAGAAGUAAGAGCACAGUUUAGUCUUAAAUCUAAAAGCUAUUUGUUCCAACUUGUUUUUUUAUUUAUUUUUCUUCUGAUUGCUAGUGAUGCCAGUGCUCGUGCCCUCUUGGCCUUUGCCUAUGUAUUCCAUUUCACUACUAAAUUGUUCUUAAUUGAACAUUUUUAUGUUUGUUGCAUUCAACACAAGGCACAGCCUGGCAUCCAGUGAUUCUUCUUUCCAUGAGAAGUAGGCUAAUUUCCGGACACCAAAGUGAAUACCUCUAUGUUUCGAAUAUGCACAGAAUUGACAUUAACCAACCCCAAAGUCUUGUUCCGAGGUGGCUAAUGAAGUGGCCGUGGUUCUUGGAGUAACCCUUUACCUACUAAUUUCAGUAGGCCACUGUUAGGACACAUAUACUUUCACCAGUACAACUAACAUUGGUGGAUAUAUUUAUUUAUAAGAUAUUUUACCAGGAAAGAUACAUUGAGAUUUCUCUUAUUUUCAAGUAUGUCCUGGGACAAAUAGCUCCUCAGAGUUAAAGGGGAAUAGUCCCUUCUCUGGAUAUUAUUACACUAUUUAAUAAAACAUUAGAAAUCACCUGUAAUUUAUUCAUCUCUGCUUGAGUUGCUCCAUGUUCUUUAAAAGAUUGCAUUAAAAAAAUUACCAAGUAACAUUACAAUCCAGUUCACUCCAGCCCCAGCCAGAAUACACAUUGCAUGUGAGGAGAAUUAAUAGAAACAUUUUCAUUUCUACUUUUCUCUUUACCCUGACUGCCAGGUGCAAAGGACACAGGUUUUAAAAGUGAUCGACAGAGAGUUAAAGGAACACUAUAGGGUAAGGAAUACAAACAUAUUCCUGAUUCUAUAGUGUUAAAAACAUUGUAGCGGAGAGGUAAUAUUCCCCAGGUUAUCUCAGCUUAUAAUCCAAGUGAGGCUCAGGAACAAGUAAAUAGUAAAUCCACAGGCAAGGCUUCCAGCAGGUAAAAUAACAGCAAUAUCCCCACAGCAAUCCCAAUAACUGGACGACACACAGUUUCAGGAGCAGA
rnacentral:lncRNA from 1 species